GACGAACGCUGGCGGCGUGCCUAAUACAUGCAAGUAGAACGCACAGUUUAUACCGUAGCUUGCUACACCAUAGACUGUGAGUUGCGAACGGGUGAGUAACGCGUAGGUAACCUGCCUGGUAGAGGGGGAUAACUAUUGGAAACGAUAGCUAAUACCGCAUAAUAUUAAUUAUUGCAUGAUAAUUAAUUGAAAGGUGCAAUUGCACCACUACCAGAUGGACCUGCGUUGUAUUAGCUAGUAGGUGAGGUAACGGCUCACCUAGGCGACGGUACAUAGCCGACCUGGGAGGGUGAUCGGCCACACUGGGACUGAGACACGGCCCAGACUCCUACGGGAGGCAGCAGUAGGGAAUCUUCGGCAAUGGACGAAAGGCUGACCGAGCAACGCCGCGUGAGUGAAGAAGGUUUUCGGAUCGUAAAGCUCUGUUGUAAGAGAAGAACGGGUGUGAGAGUGGAAAGUGCACACUGUGACGGUAUCUUACCAGAAAGGGACGGCUAACUACGUG
rnacentral:rRNA from 1 species